UGGGGAAUAUUGCACAAUGGGCGAAAGCCUGAUGCAGCGACGCCGCGUGAGGGAUGACGGCCUUCGGGUUGUAAACCUCUUUCAGCAGGGACGAAGCGCAAGUGACGGUACCUGCAGAAGAAGCACCGGCUAACUACGUGCCAACAGCCGCGGUAAUACGUAGGGUGCAAGCGUUGUCCGGAAUUACUGGGCGUAAAGAGUUCGUAGGCGGUUUGUCGCGUCGUUUGUGAAAACCAGCAGCUCAACUGCUGGCUUGCAGGCGAUACGGGCAGACUUGAGUACUGCAGGGGAGACUGGAAUUCCUGGUGUAGCGGUGAAAUGCGCAGAUAUCAGGAGGAACACCGGUGGCGAAGGCGGGUCUCUGGGCAGUAACUGACGCUGAGGAACGAAAGCGUGGGUAGCGAACAGG
rnacentral:rRNA from 1 species